UAGGGAAUUUUCGGCAAUGGGGGGAACCCUGACCGAGCAAUGCCGCGUGAAUGAUGAAGGUCUUCGGAUCGUAAAGUUCUGUCAAUGGGGAAGAAUGGCAUGCGCAGUGGAAAGGCGCGUGCGUGACGGUACCUGUUUAGAAAGCCCCGGCUAACUAUGUGCCAGCAGCCGCGGUAAUACAUAGGGGGCGAGCGUUAUCCGGAUUUAUUGGGCGUAAAGCGUGCGUAGGCGGUUUAUUAGGUCAGGCGUAAAAUAUCACAGCUCAACUGUGUAGGGCGUUUGAAACCGGUAGACUUGAAUAUGGUAGAGGCGGGUGGAAUUCCAUGUGUAGCGGUGGAAUGCGUAGAUAUAUGGAGGAACACCAAUGGCGAAGGCAGCCCGCUGGGCCAGAAUUGACGCUGAGGCACGAAAGCGUGGGGAGCAAACAGG
rnacentral:rRNA from 1 species